rnacentral:lncRNA from 1 species
GAGGCGUCUCCAAGCUUCUCGGAGCGACCUGGGUUUUUUCGAAACUUAGGUUUCGACUGGCGGCGUCGCACUCGGGCGGGGCGGCGAUCGUGGAGCGGUGACGUAUGGCGGCGACGCGGGGAUACUCAGCAUCGAUCGUGUGGGCGGCGAGAAGCUUCUGAUCCGGAGGCUUCAUGAUCGUGUUUGGCUUCGUUCCUAAACCAAAUCUGGCGAUCGCUGGGUGAACGGCGGUGGCAGAUUGACUCUUCGAUCUGACUUUGUUUGGGUGAUUGGGAUCAGAGCGGCGGUGGUGUUUUGAACUUUUGACUUUCAGGUCGGGGGCAGGUGCUGCAUCGGUCUCUAGGCGGCGUCUGGAGUCCAGGUUGGGCGGAUCUCUAAGCCAUCCAUGGCGGAGGAUCGUGGUCGACCUCCGGAUCGGUGAUGGGCUGCUGCCUCCGAUGGCUUGAGGCGGGUCGAUCUGGAGUGUGAAGGAAGGUUAGGGGCUCAGCGUCGAUCG